UCUCAUACACAGCCCAAAAUCCCAAUCCCUUCGUUGUCUUGUCCCAAGCAGCAAUAGCGGCAGCCAUGGUGUUCCUUCGAAACCUCGACGGCCGAACCCUAUACCUAGACCUCUCCUUCUCCGCCUCCUCUCCCAUCUCUUUCGAUUCCCUUUCCCUCGCCAUCGAAACCCUCACCGGCGUUCCCUCCCACCUCCAUCGCCUCUUCCUCUCCUCCCGUCGCCUCCUCCCCUCGUCCUCUUUUCCUCUUCUCCUCCACCCUUCCACCACCCUUACUCUCCAUCUUCCCUUCCUCGCCGGCACCCAGCCCCCGCUCCCCCUGCCCGCCCUCCCCGCCACGAUUUUUCUCAACUCCAAGCCCCCUCCUAACUACGUCGCUGGCCUCGGCCGUGGUGCCACCGGAUUCACCACCCGCUCUGAUAUUGGUCCUGCCCGCGCUGCCCCUGACCUCCCUGACCGCUCUGCCGCAGCGGCCGCCGCCCCUGCCGCUGGCCGUGGCCGCGGCAAACCCCCUGGCGCUGAUGGAGAUGACGAAGAGGACGAGGCUGAUGACAAGGGUUACGAUGAGAACCAGAAGUUCGAUGAGUUCGAGGGAAACGACGUCGGCCUCUUCGCCUCCGCCGAGUACGACGAGGAUGAUCGUGAGGCUGAUGCUGUUUGGGAGAGCAUCGAUAAGCGCAUGGACUCGCGCCGUAAGGACCGGAGGGAGGCGCGGCUCAAGCAGGAGAUUGAGAAAUAUCGUGCUUCUAACCCUAAGAUCACCGAGCAGUUCGCGGAUCUGAAGCGGAAGCUCGUAGAUCUCACUCCCGAGCAGUGGGAUAGCAUUCCGGAGAUUGGGGACUACUCGCUUCGGAACAAGAAGAAGAGGUUCGAGAGCUUCGUUCCUGUUCCUGAUACGCUUCUUGAGAAAGCUCGGCAGGAGCAGGAGCACGUCACUGCUCUUGACCCCAAGAGCCGUGCCGCCAGCGGUACCGAGACCCCUUGGUCGCAGACUCCGGUCACUGAUCUCACUGCCGUCGGAGAAGGGAGAGGUACUGUGCUUUCUUUGAAACUUGAUAGGUUAUCCGAUUCCGUAUCCGGGCUUACCGUAGUUGAUCCCAAGGGCUAUCUCACUGAUCUUAAGAGUAUGAAGAUUACUAGUGAUGCUGAGAUUUCGGAUAUCAAGAAGGCGCGGUUGUUGCUCAAAUCGGUGACACAGACUAACCCUAAACAUCCUCCGGGAUGGAUUGCCGCCGCGAGGCUGGAGGAGGUUGCCGGGAAGAUUCAGGCUGCGCGGCAGUUGAUUCAGAAAGGUUGUGAAGAGUGUCCCAAGAAUGAGGAUGUGUGGCUGGAGGCUUGUCGGUUGGCGAGCCCUGAUGAGGCUAAGGCAGUGAUUGCGAGGGGUGUGAAGGCUAUUCCCAACUCAGUGAAGCUCUGGUUGCAAGCUGCGAAGUUGGAGCAUAGUGAAGUGAAUCGGAGCCGGGUGUUGAGGAAGGGACUUGAGCACAUUCCGGAUUCUGUGAGGCUGUGGAAGGCACUGGUGGAGCUUGCAAAUGAGGAGGAUGCACGGCUGCUGUUGCAGCGGGCCGUUGAGUGUUGUCCACUUCAUGUUGAGCUUUGGCUUGCAUUGGCGAGGCUUGAGACCUAUGAGCAGGCUAAGAAGGUCCUUAACAAGGCAAGGGAGAAGCUUCCCAAGGAACCCUCGAUUUGGAUUACGGCUGCAAAGCUUGAAGAGGCUAAUGGAAAUACUGCAUCAGUUGGGAAGGUUAUUGAGAGGGGUAUAAGAUCCUUGCAGAGAGAAGGGGUGGAGAUUGAUAGAGAGCUUUGGAUGAAGGAAGCAGAGGCUGCUGAAAGAGCUGGUUCGAUUGCAACUUGUCAAGCUAUUAUUAAGAACACUAUAGGCAUUGCGGUUGAAGAGGAAGAUAGGAAGAGAACCUGGGUUGCUGAUGCAGAAGAAUGCAAGAAACGCGGUUCUAUUGAGACGGCUCGAGCAAUCUAUGCUCAUGCAUUAACUGUGUUCCUGACUAAGAAGAGCAUCUGGCUUAAGGCUGCACAGCUUGAGAAAAGCCAUGGGACAAGGGAGUCUCUUGAUGCCCUUCUUCGGAAAGCAGUUACUUACAGGCCUCAGGCUGAGGUGCUCUGGCUCAUGGGUGCUAAAGAGAAGUGGCUAGCUGGAGAUGUUCCUGCAGCACGAGCAAUUCUUCAAGAAGCUUAUGCUGCGAUUCCUAACUCAGAGGAGAUAUGGUUGGCUGCUUUUAAGCUGGAGUUUGAGAAUCAUGAGCCAGAGAGAGCGAGAAUGCUUCUGGCUAAAGCUAGGGAGAGAGGAGGAACUGAGAGGGUGUGGAUGAAGUCUGCCAUAGUUGAGAGGGAAUUGGGAAACACCUCAGAGGAGAGACGACUUCUGGAGGAAGGAUUGAAGCUUUUCCCUUCAUUUUUCAAGUUGUGGUUGAUGCUUGGGCAAAUGGAGGACAGAAUUGGCCAUGGAGAGCAGGCGAAGGAAGCUUAUGAGUCAGGUCUUUCCCACUGUCCAAACUGCACCCAUCUCUGGCUUUCACUUGCUAACCUUGAGGAGAGGAUGAACGGGCUGAGUAAAGCUCGUGCAGUGCUAACUAUGGCUAGAAAGAAGAAUCCCCAGAAUCCAGAACUUUGGCUUGCUGCUGUUCGUGCUGAAUCUAGGCAUGGAAACAAAAAGGAAGCAGACACAUUGAUGGCGAAAGCAUUACAGGAAUGCCCCUCUAGUGGGAUACUUUGGGCAGCAUCUAUUGAGAUGGUACCACGUCCUCAACGCAGGCAAAAGAGUUCAGAUGCUCUUAAGAGGAGUGAUCAUGAUCCACAUGUUAUUGCCGCUGUGGCAAAAUUAUUCUGGCAUGACAGGAAGGUGGACAAAGCGAGGAACUGGUUCAACAGAGCUGUUACACUUGCCCCAGACAUUGGUGACUUCUGGGCUUGGUAUUACAAAUUUGAACUUCAGCAUGGCAGUGAGGAUCACCAAAAAGAUGUCUUGAAAAGAUGCAUCACUGCAGAACCAAAACAUGGUGAGAAAUGGCAAGCAAUCUCCAAGGCUGUUGAGAAUUCCCAUCUCCCAGUUGAGGCCAUACUUAAAAAAGCAGUGGUUGCUCUUGGUAAAGAAGAGAGUUCUUCUAUUGUUGAUGGCGUCAGAGCCUAGUCUUCUGUUCAUAGGAAUAGUUGAUAGUUCAUAACAACUGAUUUAUUUACAAGGUGUCAUUGGGGAAACUCGUUUGGGUAAAGUCAUAUGCUUUCUUCUGACAAUCUUUCCCUUGAAGAUGAUUGAAGAGCGGAGUCACCCGGUAAAUCUAAACAAGCAGAUAAGAAACAUAACUCUGGGCUACAUUCUUCUGAUUCUAGUGAUUGGAAGCUGAGUUUGUUUUGACUUGGAACAAUUGAUUUCUUGCUAGCAUUUCAGCUUGGUUGAUCUUGUCUGUUAUUUCUAUUAUUAUCAUCAGAUUGAAAGAAAAUACAAGGGAAUAUAAGAUAUGAUAUUUUAAUGAAGCUUAGAAUUGGGAUGAUAGAAGUGAUUAGUCUGAAUUAGAAGUCCUGACUUCACGGUCUCUUGUGGGUUUUGUACUAAAAGUUUAGCUCUUGGUUUUUUAUACGUCAUUUAUUAGCUUUGGUAAGACUUUUGGGUGCUGUACCACACGGCAUAGACUUUUUUUUUGAGUUUUUGGGCAGAAAAUAGAUGGAAAUUUGCUUUUUAUAUAGUUGUAUAAAAAAACAAAUUUGUGUGUUUUUGUUUUUUUAGGAAUGUAAAUAAGUCAAGUGCCAAGGUCAGGCACAUGCGUGGAAUGUAACUACAAGCUAAUAUUUAUGCUCA